GUACAAUGGUUCAGAUUGCAGGUCAUGCAGCCACAGCUGGAAAUGCUGCCGGUAAACAUAUAAGUGGUUUUACACCGGACCUCCAAUGUGCUGACACCAAGGUUACCACCUGUCCAUCGAUAGGCGGCUUAAUACGUUAUCAACACAAGUUCUGUGGUGACACAGGAAGCGGUGUAACUUCAUGUCCAGGUGACUCUGGUGGAGGAGUGGUGUACAAUGGCAAGAUUUAUGGUGUCAUUCAUGGCGCUGUGAAUGGUGAAUAUGUAUGUGCUGGAGAAAAUAUAUUUAUGGACGUCUGUAAAUACUUGGGAUGGAUCAAACACAUUACUAAACCACCAAAGAAAAUGUGUCUAUGGUGUGGUUAACUGUGAAAUGCUCUGUUAAUUAAAAGACAUUUCACAGAAAAUUGUGACUUACUCAAAUUUGCACUUGAUAAAUUUACAACUGAUUGGAUUACAUUAAAUGUUCAACUAUCAUUUGUACAACCCUUUAAGACAAAGAACUGUAGUUACACAUGUAGUAUCUGAGUUACAAAUGUUAAUUUACACAAUGUUGCCAUUCAACUGUUGUUGAUCAUUUUUGAACAAAGAUAAUAAAUAAUGAGGACGAGAGAAACUACCAGGUCUGUUUAUAACAAGAUUGUUGACAACAUAAAGGCAAGUUUAGGCUGUGGUUAACUAUGAAAUGCUCUGUCAUUUAAAAGACAUUUUACAUGUAUUAAGAAAAUUGUUGAGUUCAUUUAAAAUGUACUAUUGAUAAUUUCACAAUUGAUUGAAUUACAUUAAAUGUUCAACUAUCAAUUGUAAAACCCUUUAAGAUAAACAACAAUUGUGAUUCUUUCACAUGUAGUAUCUGAGUUACAAACGAUAAUCAGCUGUUAUGGUUGAAAAAACACAUAUCUAUCUAGUUUUUUAACAAAUAAAUAAUUUUUCUUUUUUCAAUGUAAGUUUUACCCUCAUGUAAAUUCAACAGAUUAAUCAUGUUAUCAUCUUAUAUAGAAAAACUAGGCACAAGGCCAGAUAUGCCAAAAACAUACUUUUAGCAAUUAUAAUCAAUGUGACUUAUUUGACAAUGUUGUCAGUUAAAAUAAAAUAAAGAUGUCUCACAAUCA